GUUACUUCGGUACAUCGGUGACAGGUGGUGCGAUGGUUGUCGUCAGCUCGUGUCGUGAGAUGUUGGGUUAAGUCCCGCAACGAGCGCAACCCCUAUUGUUAGUUGCCAUCAUUCAGUUGGGCACUCUAGCGAGACUGCCGGUAAUAAACCGGAGGAAGGUGGGAUGACGUCAAAUCAUCAUGCCCCUUAUGACCUGGGCUACACACGUGCUACAAUGGUUGGUACAACGAGUUGCGAGUCGGUGACGGCGAGCUAAUCUCUUAAAGCCAAUCUCAGUUCGGAUUGUAGGCUGCAACUCGCCUACAUGAAGUCGGAAUCGCUAGUAAUCGCGGAUCAGCACGCCGCGGUGAAUACGUUCCCGGGCCUU
rnacentral:rRNA from 1 species